rnacentral:ncRNA from 1 species
CGGCUACACUACGGGCGCGGAGUCUUGUUCGAACCGGAUGUCUUCAAGGCUUCAUUGCCUAGGGAGGUUCGUGCCCGAACUCGACGAAGCUGAGAAGUACCGUAUGAACUCGAUCAAGAUAAUACUUGCGUGAGGACAGUGCUGCCGCUACUUC